CGGGUGAGCAACACGUAUCCAACCUGCCGUCUACUCUUGGACAGCCUUCUGAAAGGAAGAUUAAUACAAGAUGGCAUCAUGAGUCCGCAUGUUCACAUGAUUAAAGGUAUUCCGGUAGACGAUGGGGAUGCGUUCCAUUAGAUAGUAGGCGGGGUAACGGCCCACCUAGUCUUCGAUGGAUAGGGGUUCUGAGAGGAAGGUCCCCCACAUUGGAACUGAGACACGGUCCAA
rnacentral:rRNA from 1 species